ACUCACACAGACGCUUUCCGCGUUACACAUGGCAGCGUAACCACGCCAACUUGAGUGUGGAACUGAUUUCUCCUUACCUCUGUUUUGCGUCUAGCAGCUGCCAAUGACAGGUGCUCGUCCUUUAAGGCAGAUGGCAACAAAAUUGGUAUUUUUGGCAGGUUUUACAAUUUCCUUUGACAUCACACACACACACUGUGUAUACAGACAUAAACGCAAAUGAGCUGUAUGACAGUA